rnacentral:rRNA from 1 species
AUUGAACGCUGGCGGCAGGCCUAACACAUGCAAGUCGAACGAGUGGCGGACGGGUGAGUAAUGUCUGGGAAACUGCCUGAUGGAGGGGGCUAACUACUGGAAACGGUAGCUAAUACCGCAUACCAUCGGAUGUGCCCAGAUGGGAUUAGCUAGUAGGUGGGGUAAAGGCCUACCAAGGCGACGAUCAGUAGCGGGUCUGAGAGGAUGAUGCGCCACACUGGGACUGAGACACGGCACAGACUCCUACGGGAGGCAGCAGUGGGGAAUUUUGGACAAUGGGCGCAAGCCUGAGCCAGCCAUGCCGCGUGUCUGAAGAAGGCCUUCGGGUUGUAAAGGACUUUUGUCAGGGAAGCGGUACCUGAAGAAUAAGCACCGGCUAACUACGUGCCAGCAGCCGCGGUAAUAC